rnacentral:rRNA from 1 species
CAGCAGCCGCGGUAAUACGUAGGUGGCAAGCGUUAUCCGGAAUUAUUGGGCGUAAAGCGCGCGUAGGCGGUUUCUUAAGUCUGAUGUGAAAGCCCACGGCUCAACCGUGGAGGGUCAUUGGAAACUGGGAAACUUGAGUGCAGAAGAGGAAAGUGGAAUUCCAUGUGUAGCGGUGAAAUGCGCAGAGAUAUGGAGGAACACCAGUGGCGAAGGCGACUUUCUGGUCUGUAACUGACGCUGAUGUGCGAAAGCGUGGGGAUCAAACAGGAUUAGAUACCCCAGUAGUCCCUGUCUCUUAUAA